GUGGGGAAUAUUGGACAAUGGGCGCAAGCCUGAUCCAGCCAUGCCGCGUGAGUGAUGAAGGCCCUAGGGUUGUAAAGCUCUUUCACCGGAGAAGAUAAUGACGGUAUCCGGAGAAGAAGCCCCGGCUAACUUCGUGCCAGCAGCCGCGGUAAUACGAAGGGGGCUAGCGUUGUUCGGAAUUACUGGGCGUAAAGCGCACGUAGGCGGACAUUUAAGUCAGGGGUGAAAUCCCGGGGCUCAACCCCGGAACUGCCUUUGAUACUGGGUGUCUGGAGUAUGGAAGAGGUAAGUGGAAUUCCGGGUGUAGAGGUGAAAUUCGUAGAUAUUCGGAGGAACACCAGUGGCGAAGGCGGCUUACUGGUCCAUUACUGACGCUGAGGUGCGAAAGCGUGGGGAGCAAACAGGAUUAGAAACCCGAGUAGUCC
rnacentral:rRNA from 1 species